rnacentral:rRNA from 1 species
UACGUAGGGUGCGAGCGUUAAUCGGAGUUACGGGGCGUAAAGCGUGCGCAGGCGGUUCGUCGUGUCCGAUGUGAAAGCCCCGGGCUCAACCUGGGAAUGGCAUUGGAAACUGGCGGACUCGAGUGUGGCAGAGGGGGGUGGAAUUCCGCGUGUAGCAGUGAAAUGCGUAGAGAUGCGGAGGAACACCGAUGGCGAAGGCAGCCCCCUGGGCUAACACUGACGCUCAGGCACGAAAGCGUGGGGAGCAAACAGG